ensembl:snRNA U6 U6 spliceosomal RNA
UUACUUUAGCAGCAAAUAUACUAAAGUUGGAAUGGUACAGAGAAGAUUAGCAUGGCCCCUGUGCAAAGAUGACACAAAUUUGUGAAGCAUUCCAUAUUUUU